rnacentral:rRNA from 1 species
GUCCUAGCCGUAAACGAUGGACACUAGGUGUUGGUGGUAUCAACCCCGCCAGUGCCGAAGCUAACGCAUUAAGUGUCCCGCCUGGGGAGUACGGCCGCAAGGCUAAAACUCAAAGUAAUUGACGGGGGCCCGCACAAGCAGCGGAGCGUGGGGUUUAAUUCGACGCAACGCGAAGAACCUUACCAGGACUUGACAUGACCAGGACCGCGGCGGAAACGUCGCUUCCCCGCAAGGGGUCUGGCCACAGGUGUUGCAUGGCUGUCGU